rnacentral:rRNA from 1 species
GACAGGGGGUGCAAACGUUGUUCGGAAUUACUGGGCGUAAAGCGCGUGUAGGCGGCCCUGCAAGUCGGGUGUGAAAUCCCACGGCUCAACCGUGGAAGUGCACUCGAAACUGCAGGGCUAGAGUCCUGGAGAGGAAGGUGGAAUGCUUGGUGUAGAGGUGAAAUUCGUAGAUAUCAAGCGGAACACCGGUGGCGAAGGCGGCCUUCUGGACAGUGACUGACGCUGAGACGCGAAAGCGUGGGGAGCAAACAGG